GAUGAUCCCUGCAACAUGCUGCUGUUGCUGGGAGUGGGAAAGAGGUGGCAUCGGCGGUUCAAGACUGAGUUUUCUAUCUCUUCAGUGCCUCUUUCAACAAUGAAGAUCAAACCAGGUUUUGUGCAAAUAUCUGCUGAGUGAACUACUUAUUUGAAAAUACAUCAUUGGUUAAUAUUCCCUUUUGCUCAUUGAAAUCUCAAAGACUACAGACCCCGCACAAGACAUUCUGACAUUCCCGUCUUUGAAAUGAAUGACAGCAAUGAUAAAUAUGGCUCACCUCCAGAGAUACAGAUCUCACAACUUCAUAUUUUUAAUAUAAAUUAUUAAUCUGAGGUGUGGUGCAAUUCCAUUAGAUGAAAGAGAUCUACACAUUCAGAAGCACAUGAUUCUUCCCCCUUCCAUGAUUCCAGUGGCCAAUAGAAUGGAGUGUAGUGGCGUGAUCUUGGCUCACAACAACUUCUGCUUCCCACAUUCAAGCGAUCCUCCCACCUUAUACUCCUGAGUAGCUGGAACCACAGACAAACUACAAUAAAGCCAUGCCCUGACUGGAUGUGCCUAACAUUUGUCUGGUGCUUAAAGGAGUUGGCUGCAUGCGUGGGAUGGAGAAGGAUUCAACAUUUAAUGGCAGUUAGAAUCAAAUUUUUAACUCAAGAAGGCAGAAGGAAUCCACCUAAAUAAAUGUUGGAAAGUCACCAAAAAUAGUUCUCCAAGUCAGAAGCGGUGCAAAAGCUGCCUCAGCUCUUGGUGGAUUUUCAAUUUCUCCCAGCCAUCUCUGUUUCGCUAAAGGUUUCUGAAGACAGUGGAAUGCUGUUGAAGACACCACCUUGAUAAAACAAAAACAUCAGCCAAAUUAAAUUUAAAGGAGUUUAAUUGAGCAAAGAAUUAUUCAUGAAUCAAGCAGUCUUCCAAGCCAGAGUAGGCUCAAAUACUCCAGCACAGCCACGUGGUGGAAGAUUUAUGGACAAAAGAAGAAAAGUAACAUAUAGAAAAUGGAAAUGAGGGGAAGCUUUUUUCUCCUCCCCAUCCUGAUCACUAGUAUGAGAAGGGGUGCUAAUGGACCAGCCUUGGCCUUGCAGAUGAAGAUGAUGAAGGAAGAAGAUGUAUAAAGAACCUCUGAAAGAGUCCCAGUUUUACAUUUCAAAGUCUUUUUCCUUCUGUUGUUUAUUGUGUUGGGUUGGAGUGGAGGAUAUUUGAUGGAGAAUUGAUUCUGAAACUUGCCAAAAUAUGGAUAAUACUUUGCUCCUUUUCCAUUGUGGGUUAUCACAAAGAAGAGUUUCACUUUUAGUCAUCUAUUUACAGAUAAUGAAGAUAUUAUACCAUUAUAUGCUCUUGAAUCUGUCUCAUUGUGACUUGGCGAAGAGGCAGUGAAUCUGCCAAAAAGAAGUAGAGCAGCUGUGAAGAUGCCAACACAAUUGAGUACUCUUUCUCUACAUAUUUCUAAAUAUGGCAAUUUAUUGGACACUUAUGAGCAUGGAAUGACAAUGGGGUCAAUUUAACCAUACGGCAAUGCUGAGACACCUUCAUUAUGACCUUUCCCUGGUAUAAGUUAUGUGAUAAUGAAUGCAUGUUUAGUCACACACUGUAGGUACAGAUGGGAAAAAAGAAAGCAUAAAAUAUAAAACAUGAUGUCCAGGUUUCAAAUAAGAAUUCUAAAAUGUUAUUUAAUUAAUGAAAUGAAAAUACUUUACUUUAGAAAAAGAAUAUUGAAUCUCUUUGAUGUAUAAAAUGUAUAUUUCAAAUUAAAAAUUCAAAAGAAACAAA
rnacentral:lncRNA from 1 species